rnacentral:rRNA from 1 species
GAUGAACGCUGGCGGCGUGCCUAAUACAUGCAAGUCGAGCGAACUGAUUAGAAGCUUGCUUCUAUGACGUUAGCGGCGGACGGGUGAGUAACACGUGGGCAACCUGCCUGUAAGACUGGGAUAACUUCGGGAAACCGAAGCUAAUACCGGAUAGGAUCUUCUCCUUCAUGGGAGAUGAUUGAAAGAUGGUUUCGGCUAUCACUUACAGAUGGGCCCGCGGUGCAUUAGCUAGUUGGUGAGGUAACGGCUCACCAAGGCAACGAUGCAUAGCCGAACUGAGAGGGUGAUCGGCCACACUGGGACUGAGACACGGCCCAGACUCCUACGGGAGGCAGCAGUAGGGAAUCUUCCGCAAUGGACGAAAGUCUGACGGAGCAACGCCGCGUGAGUGAUGAAGGCUUUCGGGUCGUAAAACUCUGUUGUUAGGGAAGAACAAGUACAAGAGUAACUGCUUGUACCUUGACGGUACCUAACCAGAAAGCCACGGCUAACUACGUGCCAGCAGCCGCGGUAACAC